rnacentral:rRNA from 1 species
UGGGGAAUAUUGCGCAAUGGGGGAAACCCUGACGCAGCGACGCCGCGUGCGGGAUGAAGGCCUUCGGGUUGUAAACCGCUUUUGAUUGGGAGCAAGCUUUCGGGUGAGUGUACCUUUCGAAUAAGCGCCGGCUAACUACGUGCCAGCAGCCGCGGUAAUACGUAGGGCGCAAGCGUUAUCCGGAAUUAUUGGGCGUAAAGGGUUCGCAGGCGGAAUAACAAGUCAGAUGUGAAAGGCAUGGGCUCAACCCAUGUAAGCAUUUGAAACUGUAAUUCUUGAGAAGUGGAGAGGUAAGUGGAAUUCCUAGUGUAGCGGUGAAAUGCGUAGAUAUUAGGAGGAAUACCUGUGGCGAAGGCGACUUACUGGACACAAAUCUGACGCUGAGGAACGAAAGCGUGGGUAGCAAACAGG